rnacentral:rRNA from 1 species
CCAAUAGCGUAUAUUAAAGUUGUUGCAGUUAAAAAGCUCGUAGUUGAAUUUCGGGAUCAAUGUUUCGGUCAUGCCGUUGGUAUGUACUGAUAUUAUUGAUUUCUCACCUUCUAAAGAACCGUAAUGCCAUUAAUUUGGUGUCACGGGGAAUUAGGACUGUUACCUUGAAAAAAUUAGAGUGUUUAAAGCAGGCUCACGCUUGAAUACAUUAGCAUGGAAUAAUGAAAUAGGACGUCCGAUUCUAUUUUGUUGGUUUCUAGGAUCGAUGUAAUGAUUAAUAGGGAUAGUUGGGGGCAUUAGUAUUCAAUUGUCAGAGGUGAAAUUCUUGGAUUUAUUGAAGACUAACUACUGCGAAAGCAUUUGCCAAGGAUGUUUUCAUUAAUCAAGAACGAAAGUUAGGGGAUCGAAGACGAUCAGAUACCGUCGUAGUCUUAACCAUAAACUAUGCCGACUAGGGAUCGGAUGAUGUUAAUUUUUUAAUGACUCAUUCGGCGCCUUACG